rnacentral:rRNA from 1 species
UACGAAGGGGGCUAGCGUUGCUCGGAAUCACUGGGCGUAAGGCGCACGUAGGCGGCUUUCUAAGUCAGGGGUGAAAUCCUGGAGCUCAACUCCAGAACUGCCUUUGAUACUGGGGAGCUCGAGUCCGGAAGAGGUGAGCGGAACUCCGAGUGUAGAGGUGAAAUUCGUAGAUAUUCGGAAGAACACCAGUGGCGAAGGCGGCUCACUGGUCCGGUACUGACGCUGAGGUGCGAAAGCGUGGGGAGCAAACAGG